UUCUUGGUCAUUUAGAGGAAGUAAAAGUCGUAACAAGGUUUCCGUAGGUGAACCUGCGGAAGGAUCAUUAUCGUAGGGGCCUCGCCCCCUUCGAGAUAGCACCCUUUGUUUAUUAGCACCUCUCGUUUCCUCGGCAGGCUCGCCUGCCAACGGGGACCCACCACAAACCCAUUGCAGUACAAGAAGUACACGUCUGAACAAAACAAAACAAACUAUUUACAACUUUCAACAACGGAUCUCUUGGUUCUGGCAUCGAUGAAGAACGCAGCGAAAUGCGAUAAGUAGUGUGAAUUGCAGAAUUCAGUGAAUCAUCGAAUCUUUGAACGCACAUUGCGCCCUUUGGUAUUCCUUAGGGCAUGCCUGUUCGAGCGUCAUUUCAACCCUCAAGCCUAGCUUGGUGUUGGGCGUCUGUCCCGCCUCCGCGCGCCUGGACUCGCCUCAAAAGCAUUGGCGGCCGGUUCCCAGCAGGCCACGAGCGCAGCAGAGCAAGCGCUGAAGUGGCUGCGGGUCGGCGCACCAUGAGCCCCCCCACACCAGAAUUUUGACCUCGGAUCAGGUAGGGAUACCCGCUGAACUUAAGCAUAUCAAUAAGCGGAGGAA
rnacentral:rRNA from 1 species